rnacentral:lncRNA from 1 species
CCCUAAACGUGCAGAUGAGCCUGGCUCAAAUCAAGCAGCAAAUCGGUACUUGUCACAAAAUUCUGAGUUGGUUAAAUCUUUGGUACCCUAAAUAUUUGAAAUGGGCUUUUCUGCUUCUGGCCUAGGGGCUGCCACAAGCUCUGCUACUUUCCCCGCCCUCCAUCAUGUGUUUUAAAUCUCUUAACACAGCCGCCGCUCCAGCUGGGGCUCUGAUGGUCUCCCAGCUGCGUCACUGCAACAGCCUCACAACAGGCUUUUGGCUCCAGUAUUGGGGAACAAACCGCAGUUUGCUCCUGCUUCCUGACACUCCUUUGAGAAGACUCCCCUCACCCCCACGUGGGGCAGAGCCCCUCGGUGCACUGGAAUCUCCCCUAGGCUGGCUCUCAGCACCAACUUCCCAUGAGCUAGAUGCAGAGACUGCCAAGACCCUAGGGGAUGGUGGAAUGACAACACUGUAGGAGCUGACUGCCAACCAGAACAUGUGUCUUGAACUGUUUUGGGAGCAAGAAAGAAGCAUCUGCUGUAUUAGCAGCAUGGUUCAUUAUGAAGCCUAUUAGUUAGAUCAUCUUGGUGUAUUCUAUCUAGAUAGGCAGAAAGCUACCUAAAGUUGUUAUUGAUGACAAAAUGGUAUAAAAUGGUGGUAAGAAUUGAUUGGCAGGGGUGAGACUGUUGGAGGAUACAGUGAUAGUUUGAGUGAGAUGGCUGAAUCCAUAGGACUGAUUAAGUGACUCCAUGCAGAGGGUGAAGAAGACGGAAAAGGUGAUGUUGACUCUAAGGUUGUGCAUAGGCGAUUGGUGGUAUCAUUCAGGAAGGAAGGGAGUCUAUCAAGAAGGGUGGAAGACAAGGAACAGGAGCAGUCAGGGAAUGGGAAAAGGGCAGCCAUGAUGUGGCUGAGGUUGAGGUGUCCAGUGGAAAAUCCAUAUGGAAAACUCUGCUUUGCAGGUGAACGUUUAUGUGUGGAGGUCGGGACAAUGGUGUUUGAGUUGAAUCCAGGUAUUGAUGAGGUAAUGACAUAUAGAUGAUAGCGGGAACAAUAAGAUCAUCAGGGAAGGCCAUGUGGGCCAGAAGCAGGCCAACAGCUGACUUUGAAGGAAAAUCAACAUUAUAAGAGCGGAGAGCCUUAAAAUACCUAGACAGGCUCAUGUGACAAAAGACCCACACAAUUUAC